UACGUAGGGGGCAAGCGUUGUCCGGAUUUAUUGGGCGUAAAGAGCGCGUAGGCGGCCCGGUAAGUCCGCUGUGAAAGUCGAGGGCUCAACCCUCGGAUGCCGGUGGAUACUGCCAGGCUAGAGUCCGGAAGAGGCGAGUGGAAUUCCUGGUGUAGCGGUGGAAUGCGCAGAUAUCAGGAGGAACACCGAUGGCGAAGGCAGCUCGCUGGGACGGUACUGACGCUGAGGCGCGAAAGCGUGGGGAG
rnacentral:rRNA from 1 species